GUACUUGCUUUGCAGCAUAUAGACUAAAAUUGGAAUUUAUAAGAGAAGAUUAACAUGGCAUCUGUACAAGAAAGACAUGCAAAUUCAUGAAGUUUUAUAUUGUUCA